CAACCUCAACUCAUAUGGGACUACCCCCUGAAUUUAAGCAUAUUAAUUAGGGGAGGAAAAGAAACUAACAAGGAUUUUCUUAGUAGCGGCGAGCGAAAAGAAAUCAGUUCAGCACUAAGUCACUUUGUCUAUAUGGCAAAUGUGAGAUGCAGUGUAUGGAGCGUCAAUAUUCUAGUAUGAGAAAUUAACGAUUUAAGUCCUUCUUAAAUGAGGCCAUUUACCCAUAGAGGGUGCCAGGCCCGUAUAACGUUAAUGAUUACUAGAUGAUGUUUCCAAAGAGUCGUGUUGCUUGAUAGUGCAGCACUAAGUGGGUGGUAAACUCCAUCUAAAACUAAAUAUAACCAUGAGACCGAUAGUAAACAAGUACCGUGAGGGAAAGUUGAAAAGAACUCUGAAUAGAGAGUUAAAUAGUACGUGAAACUGCUUAGAGGUUAAGCCCGAUGAACCUGAAUAUCCGUUAUGGAAAAUUCAUCAUUAAAGUUAUAAUAUUUAAACAAUAUUAUACAAAUAAUGUGCAUUUUUUCCAUAUAAGGACAUUGUAAUCUAUUAACAUAUUAAAUUUAUCAUAAAAUAUGGCUUAUAGUUUAUUCAAAUUAUUAUGCUUGC
rnacentral:ncRNA from 1 species